rnacentral:tRNA from 1 species
AGACAUUUAGUAUUAACAAAAACAUUUGAUUUCGGCUCAAAAGCUUAUGGUUCAAACCCAUAUCUGUCUA